rnacentral:rRNA from 1 species
AUUGAACGCUGGCGGCAUGCCUUCCACAUGCAAGUCGAACGGUAACAGGUCUUCGGAUGCUGACGAGUGGCGAACGGGUGAGUAAUACAUCGGAACGUGCCCGAUCGUGGGGGAUAACGAAGCGAAAGCUUUGCUAAUACCGCAUAAGAUCUACGGAUGAAAGCAGGGGACCGCAAGGCCUUGUGCGAACGGCGCGGCCCAUGGCAGAUUAGGGAGUUGGGGGGAUAAAAGCUUACCAAGCCGACGAUCUGUAGCUGGUCUGAGAGGACGACCAGCCACGCUGGGACUGAGACACGGCCCAGACUCCUACGGGAGGCAGCAGUGGGGAAUUUUGGACAAUGGGCGAAAGCCUGAUCCAGCCAUGCCGCGUGCAGGAUGAAGGCCUUCGGGUUGUAAACUGCUUUUGUACGGAACGAAAAGACUCUGGUUAAUACCUGGGGUCCAUGACGGUACCGUAAGAAUAAGCACCGGCUAACUACGUGCCAGCCGCCGCCGUAACAC